rnacentral:lncRNA from 1 species
GGGCUGCGUGUCCCCGGAGCUCCCAGCCCACCAGUCUCAGGCACCCCUCACAGACCCUAACUCCUGGACCCCAAUGGAGCAACAGCCACUUACAGUUGGACUCAGCACAACGUCUCAAUCCUUUGGAGUUCGGCCAGGCAUGGCUGCCCUUCUGUUCUGUUUCCUGCUGAUCUUCAUGCAACAGCUGCUUUACUCUCAGCCGUCUUCAAAAACCCCAGCCCCGCCAAGGUAGGUAUGCCAUGAAAAGGAACGUGGCCCGGCCCAAAGUUGAGACUAUCUCAAGCCACAAGGUCCCACACUGUUGGGUAGGCACAGAUCAUUGUUUUGUUGACCAAGAGAACUGAAAACUGUAAGCCCCCUGCAGGGCCCACAGGAGUCUGCUGAGGCAUACGGAGAGGGAAACACAGGUGCAGGAAAGAUCCCUGGACUGGGAAGCCGGCAAGGCCUGAGUCUAAGUCCUGACGCAGCCCUUGAGGAGCUGUGCAACCUUAGGGCAAGUGGACAACUUCUCUGAGCUUCAGUUCUCUAGUCACAUAAAAGGGAGGCGAGAAGCCCUAACAUCACACCCUAUUUAGAAUUCACUUCUGCAGGACGUUCCCAUUGUGGUUCAGCGGU